rnacentral:rRNA from 1 species
AUUGAACGCUAGCGGGGUGCUUAACACAUGCAAGUCGAACGAGUGGCGGACGGGUGAGUAAUAUAUCGGCACGUUGCCCGUCAGGGGGGGUAACUACUCGAAAGCGUGGCUAAUAACGCAUACUAUAGAAGCGGCCGAUAUCGGAUUAGCUAGUUGGGGGGUGAAUGGCUAACAAAGGCGACGAUGCGUAGCGGGUUUGAGAGGACGACCAGCACCACUGGACCUGGGACACGGCCCAGACUCCUACGGGAGGCAGCAGUGGGGAAUUUUGGACAAGGGGGGAAAUCUUGAGGCAGCCAUCCCGGGGGUAUGAGAAGGCCUUCGGGUUGUAAAGUACUUUUGGCGGAGAAGCGGUAUCUGCAGAAUAAGCACCGGCUAACUACGUGCCAGCAGCCGCGGUAAUAC